GAGUUUGAGUGGCUCAGGACGAACGCUGGCGGCGUGCUUAACACAUGCAAGUCGAACGAGAAUCUACUGAAAGAGUUUUCGGACAAUGGAAGUAGAGGAAAGUGGCGGACGGGUGAGUAACGCGUGAGGAACCUGCCUUGAAGAGGGGGACAACAGUUGGAAACGACUGCUAAUACCGCAUGAUGCAUAAGGGUCGCAUGAUUCUUAUGCCAAAGAUUUAUCGCUUCAAGAUGGCCUCGCGUCUGAUUAGCUAGUUGGCGGGGUAACGGCCCACCAAGGCGACGAUCAGUAGCCGGACUGAGGGGUUGAACGGCCACAUUGGGACUGAGAUACGGCCCAGACUCCUACGGGAGGCAGCAGUGGGGAAUAUUGGGCAAUGGGCGCAAGCCUGACCCAGCAACGCCGCGUGAAGGAAGAAGGCUUUCGGUAUGUAAACUUCUAUCAGCAGGGAAGAAAUAGACGGUACCCGACUAAGAAGACCCCGGCCAACUACGUGCCAGCCGCCGCCGU
rnacentral:rRNA from 1 species